GGAGAGGUGUCCGAGUGGCCGAAGGUACAUGACUGGAAAUCAUGUGUGGCGCAAAACGCCACCGCGGGUUCGAAUCCCGCCCUCUCCG
rnacentral:tRNA from 2 species